rnacentral:misc_RNA from 1 species
GAAAUGCGAUAAGUAAUGUGAAUUGCAGAAUUCAGUGAAUCAUCGAAUCUUUGAACGCACCUUGCGCUCCUUGGUAUUCCUUGGAGCAUGCCUGUUUGAGUAUCAUGAAAUCUUCAAAGUAAAUCUUUUGUUAACUCAAUUGGUUUCUACUUUGGUAUUGGAGGUCUUUGCAGCUUCACACCUGCUCCUCUUUGUUCAUUAGCUGGAUCUCAGUGUUAUGCUUGGUUCCACUCGGCGUGAUAAGUUAUCUAUCGCUGAGAACACUGUAAAAGGUGGCCAAGGUAAAUGCAGAUGAACCGCUUCUAAUAGUCCAUUGACUUGGACAAUACUUUUAUGAUCUGAUCUCAAAUCAGGUAGGACUACCCGCUGAACUUAAGCA